rnacentral:rRNA from 1 species
CCUCGGUGGUGUUUGGGCUUCAGACACUGUUCGUUUAUCACGCAACUGCUUCAGUGCGGCGCACGCGUGCUAGGUCGGUGCAAGACACCGUCCGCCAGCCUCGUUCGGAAGCGGCUCCGCGACAGGAGCUGUGAAUGACUUGGUAGGGCGCCGUACUCGGUUCGCGCUGGGUUUUCGAACGUGUCGAGUCCUUUCCGGCAUACCGCUAAGUGCGGUGCACGCGCGCUAGGGCGGUGCAAGACACCGCCCGCCAGCCUCGUUCGGAAGCGGCUCCGCGACAGGAGCUGUGAAUGACUUGGUAGGGCGCCGUACUCGGACUUGCUGGACUGGGCGAAAAGCGAUUGAUAUCCGUUGUCGACCUCAGAUCAGGCGAGACAACCCGCUGAAUUUAAGCAUAUCACUAAGCGGAGGAAAAGAAACCAACAGGAUCCCCCGU